UACGUAGGGGCCAAGCGUUGUCCGGAUUUAUUGGGCGUAAAGAGCUCGUAGGCGGUUGGGUAAGUCGGGUGUGAAAACUCCAGGCUCAACUUGGAGAUGCCACCCGAUACUGCUCUGACUUGAGUCCGGUAGGGGAGUGGGGAAUUCCUGGUGUAGCGGUGAAAUGCGCAGAUAUCAGGAGGAACACCGAUGGCGAAGGCAGGUCUCUGGGCAUUAACUGACGCUGAGGAGCGAAAGCAUGGGGAGCGAACAGG
rnacentral:rRNA from 1 species